UACGUAGGGUGCAAGCGUUUAAUCGGAAUUACUGGGCGUAAAGCGUACGCAGGCGGCUUUGCAAGACAGGUGUGAAAUCCCCGGGCCUAACCUGGGAACUGCAUUUGUGACUGCAUGGCUAGAGUUUGUCAGAGGGGGGUGGAAUUCCACGUGUAGCAGUGAAAUGCGUAGAGAUGUGGAGGAAUACCGAUGGCGAAGGCAGCCCCCUGGGAUAACACUGACGCUCAUGCACGAAAGCGUGGGGAGCAAACAGG
rnacentral:rRNA from 1 species